rnacentral:rRNA from 1 species
CCUACGGGGUGCAGCAGUGGGGGAUAUUGCACAAUGGGGGAAACCCUGAUGCAGCGACGCCGCGUGUGGGAAGACGGUCCUCUGGAUUGUAAACCACUGUCCCCAGGGACGAAGAUGACGGUACCUGGGGAGGAAGCUCCGGCUAACUACGUGCCAGCAGCCGCGGUAAUACGUAGGGAGCGAGCGUUGUCCGGAAUUACUGGGUGAAAAGGGAGCGUAGGCGGGACUGCAAGUUGGGUGUCAAAUCUACCGGCGCAACCGGUAGCCGCACUUAAAGCUGCAGUUCUUGAGUGAAGUAGAGGCAGGCGGAAUUCCUAGUGUAGCGGUGAAAUGCGUAGAUAUUAGGAGGAACACCAGUGGCGAAGGCGGCCUGCUGGGCUUUUACUGACGCUGAGGCUCGAAAGUGUGGGGAGCAAACAGGAUUAGAUACCCGUGUAGUC